GAAGUGUGGACGCCAGUCUGCAUGGAGCCGACCUUGAAAUACCACCCUUUAAUGUUUGAUGUUCUAACGUUGACCCGUAAUCCGGGUUGCGGACAGUGUCUGGUGGGUAGUUUGACUGGGGCGGUCUCCUCCUAAAGAGUAACGGAGGAGCACGAAGGUUGGCUAAUCCUGGUCGGACAUCAGGAGGUUAGUGCAAUGGCAUAAGCCAGCUUGACUGCGAGCGUGACGGCGCGAGCAGGUGCGAAAGCAGGUCAUAGUGAUCCGGUGGUUCUGAAUGGAAGGGCCAUCGCUCAACGGAUAAAAGGUACUCCGGGGAUAACAGGCUGAUACCGCCCAAGAGUUCAUAUCGACGGCGGUGUUUGGCACCUCGAUGUCGGCUCAUCACAUCCUGGGGCUGAAGUAGGUCCCAAGGGUAUGGCUGUUCGCCAUUUAAAGUGGUACGCGAGCUGGGUUUAGAACGUCGUGAGACAGUUCGGUCCCUAUCUGCCGUGGGCGCUGGAGAACUGAGGGGGGCUGCUCCUAGUACGAGAGGACCGGAGUGGACGCAUCACUGGUGUUCGGGUUGUCAUGCCAAUGGCACUGCCCGGUAGCUAAAUGCGGAAGAGAUAAGUGCUGAAAGCAUCUAAGCACGAAACUUGCCCCGAGAUGAGUUCUCCCUGACCCUUUAAGGGUCCUGAAGGAACGUUGAAGACGACGACGUUGAUAGGCCGGGUGUGUAAGCGCAGCGAUGCGUUGAGCUAACCGGUACUAAUGAACCGUGAGGCUUAACCUUACAACGCCGAAG
rnacentral:rRNA from 1 species